rnacentral:rRNA from 1 species
UAUGGUAAUUGUGUGCAGCCGCGGUAAUACGGAAGGUCCGGGCGUUAUCCGGAUUUAUUGGGUUUAAAGGGAGCGUAGGCCGGAGCUUAAGCGUGUUGUGAAAUGUAGACGCUCAACGUCUGCACUGCAGCGCGAACUGGUUUCCUUGAGUACGCACAAAGUGGGCGGAAUUCGUGGUGUAGCGGUGAAAUGCUUAGAUAUCACGAAGAACUCCGAUUGCGAAGGCAGCUCACUGGAGCGCAACUGACGCUGAAGCUCGAAAGUGCGGGUAUCGAACAGG